rnacentral:rRNA from 1 species
GAUGAACGCUGGCGGCGUGCCUAACACAUGCAAGUCGAACGGAAAGACGAUGAUGUUGGGGGCUUCUCGAUCGGGGGGCGGGUGAGUGACACAUGUGUAACAUGCCCCUGGAUGUGGGGGGACAUCUGGUGAAAACGGUUACUAACACAGAGGAGCUUCUGAAGCCCAGUGGGGGGUGGAAAGUGUCGGCUUUCCGGGAUGUACUCGCGGGUUAUCAGCUUGUUUGUGGGGUAGUGGCUUACCUAGGGGAUGACGGGUAGCCGGCGUGAGAGGGGGAUCGGCCACACUGGAACUGAGACACGGUCCAGACUCCUACGGGAGGCAGCAGUGGGGAAUAUUGCGCAAUGGGCGGAAGCCUGACGCAGCGAGGCCGCGUGUGUGAAGAAGGCCUUCGGUUCGUAAAGACCUUUUAGGGGGGAUGAACCGAUUUCGCUUGAGACGUAGCCCGAUUGACGGUACCCGGUGAAGAAGCACCGGCUAACUACGUG